CAUGGCUCAGAUUGAACGCUGGCGGCAGGCCUAACACAUGCAAGUCGAGCGGCACGGGAAGAAGUUUGUCUUCUUUGCCGGCGAGCGGCGGACGGGUGAGUAAUGUCUGGGGAUCUGCCCGAUGGAGGGGGAUAACUAAUAACUACUGGAAACGGUGGCUAAUACCGCUAUAACGUCGCAAGACCAAAGUGGGGGACCUUCGGGCCUCACACCAUCGGAUGAACCCAGAUGGGAUUAGCUAGUAGGUGGAGUAAUGGCUCACCUAGGCGACGAUCCCUAGCUGGUUUGAUGAGGGUGACCAGCCACACUGGAACUGAGACACGGUCCAGACUCCUACGGGAGGCAGCAGUGGGGAAUAUUGCACAAUGGGGGAAACCCUGAUGCAGCCAUGCCGCGUGUGUGAAGAAGGCCUUCGGGUUGUAAAGCACUUUCGCGGGGAGGAAGGCGGUGGCAUUAAUAGCGCCAUCGAUUGACGUUACCCGCAAGAAGUACCGGCUAACUCCGUGCCAGCAGCCGUGGUAAUACGGAGGGGGCGAGCGUUAAUCGGAAUUACUGGGCGUAAAGCGUACGCAGGCGGUCUGUUAAGUCAGAUGUGAAAUCCCCGGGCUCAACCUGGGAACUGCAUUUGAAACUGGCAGGCUAGAGUCUCGUAGAGGAGGGUAGAAUUCCAGGUGUGAGGGUAGAAUUCCAGGUGUAGCGGUGAAAUGCGUAGAGAUCUGGAGGAAUACUGGUGGCGCCUGGACGAAGACUGACCUCAGGUACGAAAGCGUGGGGAGCAAACAGGAUUAGAUACCCUGGUAGUCCACGCUGUAAACGAUGUCGAUUUAAAGGUUGUGGCCUUGAGCCGUGGCUUUCGGACGUAACGCGUUAAAUCGACCACCUGGGGAGUACGGCCGCAAGGUUAAAACUCAAAUGAAUUGACGGGGCCGCACAAGCGGUGGAGCAUGUGGUUUAAUUCGAUGCAACGCGAAGAACCUUACCUACUCUUGACAUCCAGAGAACUUGGCAAUUGGCAAAGAUGCCUUGGUGCCUUCGGGAGCUCUGAGGCAGGUGCUGCAUGGCUGUCGUCAGCUCGUGUUGUCAAAUGUUGGGUUAAGUCCCGCAACGAGCGCAACCCUUAUCCUUUGUUGCCAGCGAUUCGGUCGGAAACUCAAAGGAGACUGCCGGUGAUAAACCGGAGGAAGGUGGGGAUGACGUCAAGUCAUCAUGGCCCUUACGAGUAGGGCUACACACGUGCUACAAUGGCGCAUACAAAGAGAAGCGAUCUCGCGAGAGUCAGCGGACCUCAUAAAGUGCGUCGUAGUCCGGAUUGGAGUCUACAACUCGACUCCAUGAAGUCGGAAUCGCUAGUAAUCGUGGAUCAGAAUGCCACGGUGAAUACGUUCCCGGGCCUUGUACACACCGCCCGUCACACCAUGGGAGUGGGUUGAAAAAGAAGUAGGUAGCUUAACCCUUCGGGAGGGCGCUUACCACUUUGUGAUUCAUGAUUGGGGUGAAGUCGUAACAAGGUAACCGUAGGGG
rnacentral:rRNA from 1 species